rnacentral:rRNA from 1 species
GACGAACGCUGGCGGCGUGCUUAACACAUGCAAGUCGAACGAAGAGGCGAACGGGUGAGUAACGCGUAAUCAACCUGCCCUUCAGAGGGGGACAACAGUUGGAAACGACUGCUAAUACCGCAUACUGAAGGUGGGGAUUGCGUCUGAUUAGCUAGUUGGAGGGGUAACGGCCCACCAAGGCGAUGAUCAGUAGCCGGUCUGAGAGGAUGAACGGCCACAUUGGGGAUGAGACACGGCCCAGACUCCUACGGGAGGCAGCAGUGGGGAAUCUUCCGGAAUGGGAGAAAGUCUGACGGAGCAACGCCGCGUUAGUGAUGAAGGCCUUCGGGUUGUAAAGCUCUGUUAAUCGGGACGCGGUACCGAAAUAGAAAGCCACGGCUAACUACGUGCCAGCAGCCGCGGUAAUUC